ACUCAAAGGAAUUGACGGGGACCCGCACAAGCGGUGGAGGAUGUGGUUUAAUUCGACGCAACGCGAAGAACCUUACCAAGGUUUGACAUCUACCGAAUCUGCUGGAAACAGUGGAGUGCCCGAAAGGGAACGGUAAGACAGGUGGUGCAUGGCUGUCGUCAGCUCGUGUCGUGAGAUGUUGGGUUAAGUCCCGCAACGAGCGCAACCCUCGAUGUUAGUUACCAUCAUUAAGUUGGGGACUCUAACGUGACUGCCGGUGAUAAGCCGGAGGAAGGUGAGGACGACGUCAAGUCAUCAUGCCCCUUACAUCUUGGGCUACACACGUCCUACAAUGGCAUAGACAAAGGGCUGCAAGUUAGUGAUAGCAAGCGAAUCCCAUAAACUAUGUCUCAGUUCGGAUUGCAGGCUGCAACUCGCCUGCAUGAAGUCGGAAUCGCUAGUAACCGUAGAUCAGCACGCUACGGUGAAUACGUUCCCGGGUCUUGUACACACCGCCCGU
rnacentral:rRNA from 1 species